GUGAUCAUACAAGAACUAAUGCACCGGAACUCAUCAGAACUCCGCAGUUAAGCGUGCUUGGGCGAGAAUAGUACCAGGAUGGGGGACCCUCUGGGAAGUCCUCGUGUUGCACCCC